rnacentral:rRNA from 1 species
UAGGGAAUAUUGGUUAAUGGGCGAAAGCCUGACCCAGCAACGCCGCGUGCGCGAUGAAGGCCUUCGGGUUGUAAAGCGCUUUUAAGUGGGAUGAGGAAGGACAGUACCACUAGAAUAAGUCUCGGCUAACUACGUGCCAGCAGCCGCGGUAACACGUAGGAGACGAGCGUUAUCCGGAUUUACUGGGUGUAAAGCGCGUGCAGGCGGUAUGGAAAGUUGGAUGUGAAAGCUCCCGGCUUAACUGGGAGAGGUCGUUCAAAACUACCGAACUAGAGUACAGCAGAGGGGAGUGGAAUUCCGAGUGUAGCGGUAAAAUGCAUAGAUAUUCGGAAGAACACCAGUGGCGAAGGCGGCUCCCUGAGCUGAAACUGACGCUCAGACGCGAAAGCUAGGGUAGCGAACG